rnacentral:rRNA from 1 species
AGACGGAGGGGGCUAGCGUUGUUCGGAAUUACUGGGCGUAAAGCGCGCGUAGGCGGUGGUUCAAGUUGGGCGUGAAAGCCCGGGGCUCAACCCCGGGACUGCGCUCAAAACUAGGCCACUAGAGUCCGGGAGAGGGUGGUGGAAUUCCCAGUGUAGAGGUGAAAUUCGUAGAUAUUGGGAAGAACACCGGUGGCGAAGGCGGCUACCUGGUCCGGUACUGACGCUGAGGUGCGAAAGCGUGGGGAGCAAACAGGAUUAGAAACCCCGGUAGUCC